AACGCAUCUUGCGCUCUUUGGCAUUCCGAAGAGCAUGCUUGUUUGAGUGUCGCAAACCUCUCACGCCCCGCGUUUUAAUGAGCGCGCGCGGCUGUGGACCGUGGCCGUCUGGCCGGCUCUCGUAGUCGGCCCGGCCGAAAUUCAUGCGGAGCGCCUCUGCUGCCCGCGACGACCGAGCGUUGUAGACCCCUCGCUUGAUCGGCGUGAGCGCAGGCUCCCAAACCUUACUAUUCGACCUCAAAUCAAGUAGGACUACCCGCUGAACUUAA
rnacentral:misc_RNA from 1 species